GGUGAUGUACUUCAGUUGGGAGAGUGCUUGCUUAGCAUGCAGAAAGCCCUGGGUUCUAUCCUCAGCAGCACCU
rnacentral:tRNA from 1 species